rnacentral:rRNA from 1 species
UACGUAGGAGACAAGCGUUGUCCGGAAUUACUGGGUGUAAAGCGCGUGUAGGCGGUAGGCCAAGUCUGCUGUGAAAUCGCCCGGCUCAACUGGGCGCGGUCGGUGGAAACUGGUCAACUGGAGGACGGUAGAGGCGAGUGGAAUUCCCGGUGUAGUGGUGAAAUGCGUAGAUAUUGGGAAGAACACCGGUGGCGAAGGCGGCGACCUGGUCCAUUACUGACGCUGAGGCGCGACAGCGUGGGGAGCAAACAGG